GGGAGUGGGCUUAGGGAACUGUGGGCACGGUGCUCAGAGAGCAUUUCCUUGCCUAAACUUGCGCUGCUGUUAACGGAACCUGCUUUCCAGGGAACCUGCUUUCCAGGGACCGCUGCACUAGGCAGCACGUCAGUGGAGGCCACCGUGCGACGAAGCCCAGCUGCCGCAGCUGUGUGAGCCCACAGUACCCUCUCACCUCCCCGGUAGGGCAGAGGGAGGUAGAAAGGAGGUUCAGCGGGGACCCAGUGAGUUUCCUGACAAUGCAGGAGGACGGAGAUGAGAAACAGAUUCGAUUUGAUGCACCGAGACGCAGCCAGCGCGUGCCCUUCUGGUGGACACAGAGAACUUGGAGUCGUGAGAAAACCAGACACCGAGACUGGCACUCCCUGCUCGGCUCACCAUAGCCUCCUGAUGGCCGACGGAGUCUGGUGCACACAUGCACUUUUCAUGGCGUCGUACCUGCGGCUGAACUUGGACUUGCUCCUCACUUCCUUGCAGGGUGAGGACUCCACCGCCACUCUCCUCACCUUUCCCUUCUGGCAAGAGAGAAACACAGGGACAGAAAUCUCCAGCACCCGCCAAAGGUUGUCAUUCCAGCCCCAGAGCCCUCGGGGGCACAGGGCUCUGGCCAGCUGAAGUCACCCCUCAGGCCCUUUUGGAGCAGAGGGAAGUGUCAGUCUCAGGAAAUCCUUAAAAUACAGGCUGAUAUCCCUUUCCAAUGUUUUCUCCCCAACUUCCAAGAUUAGAUAAUCGCAAGCAACCUGGAGAUAACACCCCCAGCUUCGAUGUUCAGUGUGGCCAAAUGACUCUGGUCAUCCUUUCAAGUCGGCGAGAAGAGGCAGCAGCGGCACAGCGAUGGUGACCAGGCACUCGGGUUUCAGACUGAUCCCCAAAGGACACCCUGUGGGUCUGUCACCCCGUCUCUACAGCAGCCUCGUGGGCCAGAGUGCAGCACCAAGCACUGCCUGGGUGUCAUGGAGCCUCCUAGGCUGGUGUGCAGGUAACCUCACAGAAGAACAAAACGAGGCACCAGGUCCUAACGCCUAAAAUCUCUAACAUCGGCACUGCGUACGGGAGAAAGGUGACCACACCCACACCCACACCGUCCCGUGGGAGAAGCUGACCUCACCCUCUCCACCCCAAAUUCCCCAGCGCAUAACCCUCCCCUCCCCUUCCCCACUUCGGACUCUGCCUGCUCACAGCUGGAGCGAAAUAAACAGCUUGGUUGCCC
rnacentral:lncRNA from 1 species